rnacentral:rRNA from 1 species
UACGGAGGGAGCUAGCGUUGUUCGGAAUUACUGGGCGUAAAGCGCACGUAGGCGGCUUUGUAAGUUAGAGGUGAAAGCCUGGAGCUCAACUCCAGAAUUGCCUUUAAGACUGCAUCGCUUGAAUCCAGGAGAGGUGAGUUGGAAUUCCGAGUGUAGAGGUGAAAUUCGUAGAUAUUCGGAAGAACACCAGUGGCGAAGGCGGCUCACUGGACUGGUAUUGACGCUGAGGUGCGAAAGCGUGGGGAGCAAACAGG